CAUUUUUUUUCUUUUUUACGCAUUUUUGGAAGAUAAUGUAAUAAAUGUCCACACCCCCACACAAUGCACCCCUCUUUAAUCAACCCCUCCCUCCUUUGUGAUUGAAAAUGAGAGUCCCUUCACCUUUAAAAACAAAAUAGAUGAGCGGUCUGCACCCGCAAGGCGGUGCUCUUGUUGGCUUAGUUGUGGGCCUUGUUUUCUUUUAAAUAGCUGCUGUGGAACUUCAAAGUGCUGUAGGGGGCAUUGUGUUUCACAAAAGUCGCUCUUGUUUUUUAUGUCCCCCAGUCUAUACUAGGAGACAUAUUUCUUUUGCCCAAGGUCAUUCUUCAAGGUUAAAGGUCAAGGUCAAAUUUUGCAAUAUUGAAUAUAGCAACCUGGCAUUUUGCAUGUAUGUGUAUCUCAUGGAGCUUCACAUUUUAAGUGGUGAAAUAUCAAGGUCAGCCUUCAAGGUAAAAGGUCAAAUAUAACGAACACAUCUUGUUAUUAAAUUAAUGUUACGCAACAAUGAAUUUUGUUUAUGCCCUGCGUGCUUACGAAUUAAUUGGAUAAAACGGGAACCAAAAUGCACAUUGUUGUCAAUUGUAUAACUAUUCUCUACCUUUGCGGAAUGUAUUAAUAUAGUGAUGACGUAGUGUGGUGUUAGUUACUUUGACGACGCAACACAAAUUUUAGGAUACCUUAUGUACAUUUACGUCAUUCAGAAAAUAGAACCAAUGAGAAAAACUUUUACAUUUUUUUUAGUAUUCUUUAAUAAUUCGGUAAAAUCCAACUUUUGCAUUGAAAUUUGUCUCAAACAAAAGCUUUGGAAAUGAAGUCCUACAAUACGAGAAUAUUUUCAAAUUUUCCAAAAUUCGACUGUUUUUUGGAAGGCCUGACAUAUGGUCUUCAACAAGCAAUCUAUCCAACCAUAGUUUCAUAAAAUAAAUAUAUUUCACUUGAUAUUUAAUGCAUAUUUUUAUUUCAUUCCUGUUCAUGUAUUGACAUUAAAGUUAUACAAUGUGAUUAUAGAAAGUAGCAUUCAACAUACUGACAUCUGCUGGUUAUCUCAACAGCACAUCAGUCCAUGAUCAAACAUAGUAAGGUAUAACCGGUUAUAUGUUACACAUGAACAUGGAAACUAUGGAUGUAUUAUUGAGCUGAUGGCUAGAUAUGUUAACAAAUUUAGUAACCUAUAUUCAGUUGAACUUAAUUUGAAAACUGCAUGUUUGGUUUCUUCUGCAAGAUCUUGCACUGGAAUUGUCUCUAUUGCAGACUGAUUCUGGAUAGUCUAGGUCCUUCUAAAGCCUGUUGUUAUGGCCUAAAGUGUUUUAAGGGGAUGGUAGUUUAAAAUAAUAAGUCAAAGAAUUGGUAUACUUGGCACUUUGAAGUUUGUUCAUAUCAUUACCCUGGGGUCAAAAUUUGCCCUGCCAUAUGGUAACCUUGUUUCCAUAAUAUGUAUAUAAAAACAAAAGUAAUGAAAUAUCUUUAGAAACGGCAGAGCCAAAAGAUUUUGGUAUUUUGCGCGUAGCAUGGCAAGCUGGUCCUCUACUAAAUGUUCAAAUCAUGACCCUGAGGCCUACAAAAUUGGCUUCACCUUGGGGGUAAUUUGUUCCCUUAUAUGCAUAAAGUGAACACUACACAUCUCUGAAGCCACAAGGCCUAGCAGUUUAGUCUUGGGCAUGUUACAUCAUAAGGUGGUUUCUGUAGUAAAAUUUGGCCUGUCACUGUGUCCUGUUUCUCUAAAAGUCCAUUUUCCGGAGGGUUUUUUACGCAACAAUUUAAUAUAUUGAGCUGAUUUUUGGUAUGCCAGUCAACAUAUACGUGCCCUACAGAUGAAGUGUGAACUUUUUUCCAGAUCAUUGAUUCGUGGCAACGUUUUGAGCCUUGGACUUAAAAAUUUUCUCUUUGAUAACUGUUGUCCGGAGGUUUUUUACGAAAUGCUUUCAGCUAUUGAGCUGAUUUUGGUAUGUAAUUCUAUGUACAUGACCUACAGAUGACGUGUGAAAUUCGUUCCGGUCUUUUUAUAUUUGGCGAAGUUAUGGACCUUAGACCGCUCUCUAAUUCAAAUAGUUUACAUCUGAUCUUCACCAAACUUGGUCUGAAGUUGUGUCUAGACAAUAUCUAGGUCAAGUUCGAAUAUGGGUAAUGCUGGGUCAAAAACUAGGUCACGGGAUCACUCAGUGCAUUUCAAGGAUUAAGCAUGGUGUCAGCUCUCUAACUGAAGUAGUUUUCAUCCGAUCUUCACCAAAUUUGGUCAGAAGUUGUGUCUGGAUGAUAUGUAGGUCAAGUUCGAAUAUGGGUCAUGCCGGGUCAAAAACGAGGUCAUGAGGUUACUUAGUGCAUUUCAAGCAUUUAGCAUGGUGUCCGCUCUCUUAUUGAAGUAUUUUUCAUCCGAUCUUCACCUUAUUUGGUCAGAAGUUGUGUCUAGAUGAUAUGUAGGUCAAGUUCAAAUAUGGGUCAUGCAGGGUCAAAAACGAGGUCAUGAGGUCACUAAGUGCAUUUCAAGCAUUUAGCAUGGUGUCCGCUCUCUAAUUGAAGUAGUUUUCAUCCGAUCUUCACCUAAUUUGGUCAGAAGUUGUGUCUAGAUUAUAUGUAGGUCAAGUUCAAAUAUGGGUCAUGCCUGGUCAAAAACGAGGUCACGAUGUUACUUAGUGCAUUCCAAGCAUUUAGCAUGGUGUCUGCUCUCUAAUUGAAGUAGUUUUCAUCCGAUCUUCACCUAAUUUGGUCAGAAGUUGUGUCUAGAUGAUAUGUAGGUCAAGUUCAAAUAUGGGUCAUGCUGGGUAAAAAACGAGGUCACGAUGUCACUUUGUGCAUUUCAAGCAUUUAGCAUGGUGUCCGCUCUCUAAUUAAAAUAGUUUUCAUCUGAUCUUCACCGAAUUUAGUCAGAUGUAACGUCUAAAUGAUAUCUGAACAAGUUCAAUUAUGGGUCAUGCCGGGUCAAUAACUAGGUCUCGAGGUCACUUAGUGCAUUUCGAGCAUUGAGCAUGGUGUCCAAAACCUUCGAACAGGCGUAUCUUGUGACAGUUUGGCACUCUUGUUGGUAUAUGAGUCUACCUACAUGCCCUACAGAUGAAGUGUGAAAUUUGUUCCGGUCCAUUGAUUUUUGGCUAUGUAAUGGGCUUUGUUUUCUCUAAAAUAGCUGCUGUGCGGCUAUAAAGCGCAGUACGAUCAGUUUGCGUGUAGGUAGAUAAAAUGCAGACCAAGCAGGCAGUUUAAUAUCAAGAUUUAUUUGAACUAAAAUAUACAAAUGGUUUCUGCUUUAUUAGUCAGGAAAAGGUCAAGAUGUAUGUUUCUAAAAAUGUUUGUAGGUUGCUCACAUGCAGACCAUCUUGUGGAUUGAACAUGAAGUAAAAUAAGUAAAAAUCAUUAAAUUAUGUUAUUGUUUUUAAAUGGUAAAAUUAUUUUAACCUAUAAAAUUGUGCGUUCAUGUAGGUUUCUCUGCUCUGGUUGAUGCAUUCUUGAGUAGAUUCUAGGACUCAGAGCCGGUUUAUUUACCUUGGAAUUUUUGAAGAUAUCUUCUUCAUCAGCUGAUCACUGAUUCACUGACGUCACAAUCACAUGACCGGUAAAGAGUCACGUGAUACGAGGAGACUGUCAUACACCCGGGGUAGCUCGAGACCCUCAUCCCUGUUAAGUGAUGGCCGCCGCUGAUUAAUCUCAAUUGCUUUUUUAUACGCCCGUCUAUGACGGGACGUAUUAUGGUAUACCCCGCGUCCGUCUGUCCGUCCGUCCGUCUGUCCGUCCGUAUGUCUGUUAAUGUCGUACGCUACGUCAAAUAUCCUUUGACAGAUUUUCUUCAAAUUUUAACACAAUCUUAAUAUUGAUAAACCCUGAUCCCCUUUCGUUUUUGACGGAAUUCUGAAUUGUCGUUCCAGAGUUAUGGGACUUUGUUCGUCAAAAUUUCGUGAUUUCAUUGAAUGUCCUACUGUAGCUAUAUAAAAAUGUUAAAGUUGUUAUAACUUUGGUAUGCUUGGACCUAGAGUCUUGAAACUUGACAUGAAGGUUGGCCAGAACUAGUAAGUAACCACUGGACAUUUCAAGGUCAUUCAUUUGAAGGUCAAGGUCACUGUGACCUUGAAUGUAAAAAUGUUAAAGUUGUUAUAACUUUGGUAUGCUUGGACCUAGAGUCUUGAAACUUGACAUGAAGGUUGGCCAGAACUAGUAAGUAACCCCUGGACAUUUCAAGGUCAUUCAUUUGAAGGUCAAGGUCACUGUGACCUUGAAUGUAAAAAUGUUAAAGUUCUUAUUUCAUGUUAUAACUUUGGUAUGCUUGUACCUAGAGUCUUCAAACUUGAAAUAAAGAUUGGCCAGUACUAGAAGAUGACCACUGGUCAUUUCAAUGUCAUUCAUUUGAAGGUCAAGGUCACUGUGACCUUAAAUGUUAAAAUGUUAAAAUUGUUAUAACUUUGGUAUGCUUGGACAUAGAGUCUUCAAACUUGACAUGAAGGUUUGCAAGCACACUUAGAUGACCACUGGUCAUUAUAAGGUCAUUCAUUCUAAGGUCAAGGUCACACAAGGUCACUGUGACCUUAAAUGUUAAAAUGUUAAAAUUGUUAUAACUUUGGUAUGCUUGGACAUAGAGUCUUCAAACUUGACAUGAAGGUUUGCAAGCACACUUAGAUGACCACUGGUCAUUUCAAGGUCAUUCAUUCUAAGGUCAAGGUCACUGUGACCUUAAAUGUUAUUGUUGUUCAUGUAUCCUACCGUAGCUCAAAUAUCCCCCGAUGGAUUUUUUAUACGCCCGUCUAUGACGGGACGUAUUAUGGUAUACCCCGCGUCCGUCUGUCCGUCCGUCCGUCCGUCCGUCCGUCUGUUAAUGUCGUACACUACGUCAAAUAUCCUUUGACAGAUUUUCUUCAAAUUUUAACACAAUCUUAAUAUUGAUAAACCCUGAUCCCCUUUCGUUUUUGACGGAAUUCUGAAUUGUCGUUCCAGAGUUAUGGGACUUUGUUCGUCAAAAUUUCGUGAUUUCAUUGAAUGUCCUACUGUAGCUCAAAUAUCCUUCGAUGGAUUUUUUUCAAAUUUCAACACAAUCUUAAUAUUGAUAAACCCUGAUCCCCUUUCGUUUUUGACGGAAUUCUGAAUUGUCGUUCCAGAGUUAUGGGACUUUGUUCGUCAAAAUUUCGUGAUUUCCAUGCUCAUGUACUUAUAAAAUAAACCAUGUAUUCAAAUACAAAUAAACUGAAGUAAAAAAAUUA